rnacentral:rRNA from 1 species
UUAGGAAUCUUCCACAAUGGGCGAAAGCCUGAUGGAGCGACGCCGCGUGAGGGAUGAAGGCCUUAGGGUUGUAAACCUCUAAAAGAGGGACGAUAAUGACGGUACCUCUUGAAUAGCACCGGCUAACUCCGUGCCAGCAGCCGCGGUAAUACGGAGGGUGCAAGCGUUAUCCGGAAUCACUGGGCGUAAAGGGCGCGUAGGCGGUCUGUUAAGUCCGAUGUUAAAUCCCGGGGCUCAACCCCGGAUAAGCGUUGGAUACUGGCAGGCUAGACGGUUGGAGAGGCGAGUGGAAUUACCAGUGUAGCGGUGGAAUGCGUAGAUACUGGUAGGAACACCCAUUACGAAGGCAGCUCGCUGGACAACACGUGACGCUGAGGCGCGAAAGUGUGGGGAGCAAACC